GUGGUGUGUUGACGUCUCCUAAAAUGAAUGCAUUGCAUUCUAUUUCCCCCUUUAAUUCUGUUAGUGUUUGUUUCACAUAUGUAGGUGCUCCUGUGUUGGGUGCAUAGAUAUUUUAAAUGGUUGUAUCCUCUUGUUGGACUGACCCCUUUAUCAUUAUGGAAUGUCCUUCUUUCUCUCUUGUUGCUUUCUUUGUUUUGAAGUCUAUUUUGUGUGAUACAGGUACUGCAUCUCCUGAUUUUUUUCUCCCUAUUGUUUGCAUGAAACAUGUUUUUCCAUCCCUUCACUUUUGGUCUUUGUAUGUCUUUGGGUUUGAAGUAGUCUCUUGUAGGCAGCAUAUAGAUGGGUAUUGCUUUUUUAUCCACUGUGUAACUCUGUGUCUUUUGGUUGGUGCAUUCAGUCCGUUUACAUUUAGGGUGAUUAUUGAUAUGUGCCUACUACCAUUACAGGCUUUGGAUUUGUGGUCACCAAAGGGUCAAGGGCAGCAGUACCUGCAGGGCCUGCUGCACGUCCCUAGGGGGCGAGGCGGUGCAGGAAGCCGCCCUGGCCGGCUGGUCCGUCCGAAAUUCCUAGUGGGCGGGUCAGCGAGUUAGGAAACAGGCGAGGGGGUGGGGGCGGGGCGCGGGGCCGCGAGCCUCCUCCCCUCGGCCAAUCAGCAGCUUCAGCAGCCCCUGGGAGGGCGCACUUUCUUCUCUGCACCCGGCGAGGAGGAGGACGGCAGCGGCGUCUCCUCAACUGCAGGCGGACUCCUCAGGAGCCGCGGCGCGGCCCUGGCGCUGGCUGCGGGGCCGCCGAAGGCGUUCUGACGGAAAUUUCCCUGCUUACAACUUCGCCGCCGCCGCCGCGCUCCUGGAGGCCCGCCGCUGCCUGAUAACGGCCGCUCUGCUGCACCGUGGCGCCCGAGAGCCCGGCCAAAGUUGAGCGCAGGCCGGCGGCGCGGGUGGUGGCCGCUCCGGACGCUCCAGCUGCACUUGCUCCAGGCGCUGGUUCAAGGUCGUCGAACCCCGUUGACUGUCCUGCGGGUCGGGACAACUGGCUCCCAACGUGGGGCCCGACAGACCAGAGAGGCGAGAACGUCGCCCCCAAGAGGGUGGGCCCACCCAUGAAAGGAGGUGUCUGCAACGAGACCCUCGCCAGAGUCGCCACGUUCUGAACCCAGCGUGAGACAGACUCGUGUGUACUCAAUCGGCGACGCAUUUGAGAAGAUGCAGUUGCCAAAAAUCCUAAUCCUCCUGAUCAUGACCACAGCUCUGAGCCAUCCGCCGGUGCUGCAACCCAUGAGAUCCUGACACUUUCCUGGAACUACACCUGGAUAGUGCUUUCUGAAAGAGGAGAUGUUGUUUGGUCUCGUUCUCAAACCUCACCAGACGUCUGGUGGCCAAGCGUUUUACAACCUGACCUUUCGAAAGUAAGCACCAGUGCGACCCUCCCAGGAGUCUGAGUGCCGGUUGAGUACUAAGGUGGAUGCGAGGCAAAGCACUGCAAAGGAAAGGCUAACGCCUGCCCUGGGUUCCUUGAGGGACAUACCUGAUUGCAUAGAGGUUUGUGUCCUGCAUCCUUCUCUCCUCAGGAAAAAGACUCCUUGUGCCUAAUAGAGAAACUCUUUCUCUUCAGCAGAGCCUGUAAGACUUAGAGUUCUCUUCAUGCACCAGAUAUCCACUGAGGAUUAGGCCCCUGUCCCCGCCCCUUAGCCUGCUCAACCAAAAUCGUCCUAAUUUUUAAUAAAGAAAGGGAGAGAUGUUGGGAGCAAGCCUAUGGACUUUAAGCAAUACUAGUUAUGUAAGUCUUAAGACAACAGCAAUCAUUUCUGCAGUAAAGCAAAGCUGCUCUCCUAGCCAAAUCAAUAUAGAUUUUGUGGUCAGAUUGCUAAGCAACAUUUCCUCCUCUAUUCUUUCCACUGGCCGCCUAACCCUGCCAACAUCCUGCUUCGCAAGAACACCCGCUGCCCCAAGGGAAAACCCACCCUUAAACCUCCUCCCCAAGGGCCCCCACCCACAAGAUUGCGAACUUCCUGCUUCUCUUCUGGGUCCUUGGUUCCCGCCGGCGCCACCUGAAGCCCAAUCACCUCUUUACAUAUGUUUUCGUCACAACCUAUAUAAAUUGAGCCUGAGAAAAAUAAAAUUUGUCAGCUUGAUCGGA